GCCUGGGAGAAUCUUGACCUGGACGGGAAAUGAGGAGCAUAGCAAGCUUAACAGGCAGUGUGGGACCACCUUGCAGAAACGAUCAGAUCGUGCUGGGUUUGUAGUGCUGCUGGACUAGGGGAAUGAGAAGUGUUCAGAGUGGACAGAGAGCUGUGCUCAGAAGCUGUGGAUGAAAGCUGGUCGUACUGAGAGAUAUGAGGAGCAGAACUCAAGAAGGAGUAUUUGGUUUCAAAAGACAAACUCUUGGGACUGCUGGAUGAUGCACUCCAGAGACAGUGUGUGGCAUUGGUCGGCCACCUUUCAGCAUCCUUGAUACAGAUAAUUCCUGUUUUGUUUUGCUGUAGCCUUAACCCUAAUGGAACAGGAAAUGUCCGGAUAACAAAAGUUGUACGUGUUUCCAUAAGGGUCUUACAUCUGUUUUCUUAAUGCUUAAAAUCCAAACAAAAAGAGUUGCUCUUAUAUUGCUGCUCUGGAUUGCCAGAACUACUUUUUGUUUUCACUUUGGUUUUUGCUAUUUUUUACAGUGCAAAAGUAGCCCAAGGAAUCCAGAAGCUGAUGGACCUGCUGAGCAUGCAUUGUACAAGCAGCCUUGUAUGCUUCCACUGAGCUUUUGGGUGUCCAGAAAUUCUGGACAUAUGGCCAGAAAAGCUGUAGAUGAAGUGUAAGAGUGAUGGUUUGCUGCCAAGAGCAGUAGCAUUGGCAAGUAUGUUUGUGGCAUUCACGCGGUCAGAAAGUCAUACCAACUGUCUCCUCCCCAGACUCACAAAUUCCUCUUCUCAAAAGGGGUCAUGUUUUCUGUUUUCCAGGCCUCUAAACACAUAAAAGGCAUUUGCUUGUUUCCUUGCAUCACAUGAUUCUGCAAGUGGUGUUUUAUAUGUGUAUAUAUAUACAUGCAGUUUUUAACUCACUGUGCUUUCCUUUUACCCGUUGAUCUUUAUUCCUUCAGCAGAUCCCUUUUGGUUAUGUUGUAUGGUGUAUUUUUUUUUUUUUUUUGGUUUUGAAGAGAAUUAAGUAUUAUUUCAGCGAAUGACUUUUUUCAGAAUAAAAAGCAGAUUGUCAUGAAGGUAAUGAUGAGAUCUUUGUGGUUUGCUGUGAGCCUCUUGUAACCUAUUGGAUCUUGUUUAACAGAUAUGCAGAGAAAGUGCUACACAUGGAAAUGCUGCUCAGAAACAUCUGCGAGGAGCUGGGGGGGAAGCCUCUGUAAGCAGAAGUAUUGUCUGACCUCUCAUUAUUAAAGCAGCCCCAGUGUCAUUUAGGGUGGGAUCUGAAUUUAUGGAUCAUCACAGUGCCAUGUCUCCAGCUUCCUCCUUGCAUAUCUUGUUUUUCCACAAGAUGCCGACAAAUCUUGUCAAUCUGCAGGAAGAUACACAUUCA